rnacentral:rRNA from 1 species
GAAUCGCUAGUAAUCGCGAAUCAGCAUGUCGCGGUGAAUACGUUCCCGGGUCUUGUACACACCGCCCGUCACACCAUGGGAGUCGGUAACGCCCGAAGUCAGUGACCCAACCGGAAGGAGGGAGCUGCCGAAGGCGGGACUGGUAACUGGGGUGAAGUCGUAACAAGGUAUC